rnacentral:rRNA from 1 species
GAAUGCCGCUAUUGGAGUUCGAUUAAGCCAUGCAAGUCAGAGCGCCUUGUGCGCUCGGCGGACGGCUCAGUAACACGUGGAUAAUCUACCCUGUUGUGGGGGAUAACCUCUGGGAAACUGAGGGUAAUACCCCAUAGGAAACGCUUAUUGGAAUAUAGUGUUUUUCAAAGCCCUCGGGCGCGACAGGAUGGGUCUGCGGUGGAUUAGGCUGUUGGUGGGGUAAUGGCCCACCAAACCUAUGAUCCAUACGGGCUGUGGGAGCAGUAGCCCGGAGAAUGGUACUGAGAUAAGGACCAUAGCCCUACGGGGUGCAGCAGGCGCGAAACCUUUACAAUGCGCGAAAGCGUGAUAGGGGGACUCCAAGUGACCACGUUAGUGGUCUUUUCUUCACUUUAAAACGGUGGAGGAAUAAGGGCUGGGUAAGACCCGUGCCAGCCGCCGCGGUAAUACGGGCAGCUCUAGUGGCGUUCGCGUAUAUUGGGCCUAAAGCGUGCGUAGCCGGUCCAACAAGUCCCUGGUGAAAUCCUACAGCUUAACUGUGGGAAGUGCCAGGGAGACUGUUGAACUUGGAGCCGGGAAGGGUCGGAGGUAUUCUUUGGGUAGGGGUGAAAUCCUGUGAUCCUUGGAAGACCGACGGUGGCGAAGGCGUCCGACUGGAACGGGCUCGACGGUGAGGCACGAAAGCUAGGGGAGCGACCCGGAUUAGAUACCCGGUUAGUCCUAGCCGUAAAUGAUGCAGGUUUGGUGUGACACUCCUUACGUGGGAGUGUUGUGCCGUAGGGAAGCCGUUAAACCUGCCGCCUGGGGAGUACGGCCGCAAGGCUGAAAC